UGGAGACUUUCAGUGGAGUGA
rnacentral:miRNA from 1 species